UAACCCAUUUAACUUCUCAUUUCUCUCUCGCUUUCUCUCUCUCUGUCAGAUCGCACAGAGAAUGAAGUAACACUGGAAUGGAGUAAUGUGCACAACAUCAGCAGUUAUGUGUUGAGGAUUUACUACUAUUUACUCCACACUGUGUUUGCUCCGUCAAAGGUCUCUGGCCUUCACUGUGAGUAUUCAGGAAAUGUUGUAACUCUGGUUUGGGAUGCACCACAUGGAUUGUGGUCUGAAUUUGAGGUCCAGGUGAAUGAAGGAAUUCCAAAACAUGUAAAUAUUCCAAGAUAUCAGAUUGAUGAUGUGCUAUCAUCUGUGCAAUAUAAGAUCAGUGUUACAUCACUCUCUGGUAAAUUAAGAAGUGACCCAGUGUCAGUCGUGUGUCAAACCAACGCAUCAGGUAAUUGUUCAUGCUAUAAAAAAGUUUAUAAAGUUCUGUUUAUCAUUUAUCAUAAACAUAUGACCAUGUACAGUUGUUUGUGAACCUAUCUGUGAAUUCCAGGCUAAAGUCUCAUCAUUUAAUGUUGAAAUAGGAGCAUUAAAGUUUGAUUUCACUCACUGAUUUUAAUCUGUGACAUGAUCUUGCUCCGUCAAUAAAGAUAUCAAGGUUAUAUUUCACAGAAUGUUUUUUACAUUAUGAAAAAUUAUUUUAUGUAGAAAACAAAUAAAAAAAAUAUGACUUAAAGGGAUAGUUCGGCCAAAAAUGAUAUUAAACCCAUGAUUUACUCACCCCCAAGCUGUCCGAGUUGCAUAUGUCCAUCGUUUUUCAGACAAACACAUUUUCGGAUAUUUUAGAAAAUGUUUUAGAUCUUUCAGUUGAUUAAAUGUAAUGUUACGGGGUCCACGACCGUCAAGUCCAAAAAAGUGCGUCCAUCCUUCACAAAUUAAAUCCAAACGGCUCCAGGAUGAUAAACAAAGGUCUUCUGAGGGUAAUCCGCGCGGUGUUGUUGUAGAAAUAUCCAUAUUUAAAACUUUAUUAACGCAAAUAACUACCUUCCGGUAGCGCCGCCAUCUUAGUCGCGUUUUUGGUCGAACUAUCCCUUUAAGCUGGGUUUUCACAGACUGCAUCACAUUUAUUUCUUUAUCUCUUUUUUACCAAGGUGCAAUAGCAGGAAUCGUGUCUGCUGUUUUCUUUGUAAUCCUUCUACUUGUUGGUAUCGGAGUUUUCUGCAAAUGCAAAAAAAUUGACUUCAGACGGUUA